rnacentral:rRNA from 1 species
AGCGAACGCUGGCGGUAUGCUUAACACAUGCAAGUCGAGCGCGAAAGUGACUUCGGUCAUAAGUAGAGCGGCGGACGGGUGAGUAACACGUGGAUAAUCUGCCUUUAGGACUGGGAUAACCCUGGGAAACUAGGGCUAAUACCGGAUAAGACCACAGGUUCCAUGGAACCAGGGGUAAAAGGCGGCCUUCGGGCUGUCGCCGAAAGAUGAGUCCGCGUCCCAUCAGGUAGUUGGUGAGGUAACGGCUCACCAAGCCGAAGACGGGUAGCCGACCUUAGCGGGUGAUCGGCCACACGGGGACUGAGACACGGCCCCGACUCCUACGGGAGGCAGCAGUGGGGAAUCUUGGGCAAUGGGCGCAAGCCUGACCCAGCAAUACCGCGUGAGGGAUGAAGGCCUCGGUCGUAA